UGUUUCUAUAAAUAACAAUCGUCUGGAAUGGAAAACUCGUUUAUUUUGAAUCAUUAAUUUCAAAAUACCUACGCUAUAAAUUUGAGAAAGCUGAUUCCAGAAAUCUGCCUCAGUUAUAUAAUAUAACUUAGUUUUAUUGGAGUAUGUAUCCAUAUAGCAUCCAAUUCCAACCAUAACUUGGCUGCAAAAUAAAUCAAGUAAAUCAAGGGAGCAAAAAUACAAAUGUCAUCGUGAUUCCUAUUUAGAUACAGCUGUGAGAUAUGUAACUGCACUUGGGCCCAGAACAAAGUUGAGCAUUUUGUAUUGAAACGAACGUCAUAUUAAUUAUUAAUCGUCGUAAUACUUUAUGACCGUAAAUAAUGCAUGGGAACAGAGUAAAUAACAAACCAUACACUUCUCUUCUGGAUGGUCAACAAGAAGCCAUCAUUGUCAGAUGCUCGUGCAGAACAUGAUAAACAUACAUUUAAUGUAAAGUUACUAUUUUUUUUGGAAACAUAUAUAACAUAUUUCCCAAAUUAAUAAAAAAGUAGGUAAACAAAAACAUGUUUUAUUAUUCACAACUCUUUAUUAAGUCUUGUCCACCAUGAUAUCAGCAGCUUGAACUGCAACAUGUACCUGGAAAUUAGAAAUUAUAUCUUUUUAAAGCAGUUUCAGGCUGAAUUUUGAGUAUGGCUAUGUAUUCUUGUAUAUUCCUUCUUUCUAGUAGGCACCAUCUCUGUUUAACGGUUUGCCUUUAGAUACUCUGGCUACAUUACCACAGAAAAUAAAUAGAUACCACGACCCUACCAAUAAAGUGAGCUUUUAAAUACUUAAUUGUAGUAAAUUAAUAUUAAUUUUAUACUUACAUCGACGUGAUUCUCACAGCAAUACUGUGUGUAACACGUGAAGUAGGUAUUCCAAGUUUAAUUCACGGCACCAUCUUUCACGUCAUAGGUCUUCGUGGAUUCGAACUAUUAUUUUUGUGAAUCAUUCCCACACAUAGGAACAAGGUUUUUGAUAUAUUAUUAAGCAAUGAAAUCUACUGUUUAGGUAUUAAUUAUAAAUCAAAUUGUAACAAACAAGCGCAGCGGUUUAACUGAGAAAUUUUGUUAUGACAAUCGAUGACAAUGAUAACUUUGACAAUACGUGAGUGACGGAAUUAUUUACUAUGGUUCGAUAACUUUUAUUAUGCAAUGACUUUACAUUCAGCCCAGGAGAAGGUCAAACUAAGGUCAUAAGGAUAUUUGUUGAAAUAUCUUCAA